rnacentral:ncRNA from 1 species
UCUUAUCCAGAGCGGCGGAGGGACUAGGCCCGAUGAAGCCCGGCAACCAUCAAGGUAUUUCUUGAAAAGGUGCUAAUUCCUGCAGGUUUUUAACCUGAAAGAUAAGA